GGCCAGAGGAAGGGGCGGGGCAGCGCAGCGCAGCGCGCGGGGCCGUGAGCUCAGCCGAGCGUACGGCGGACACACGUUACCGCGGGCUUCAAGUUUCUCCGCGCACCCAUUACUGACCCUCUCAAAAUGACAGUCGGUGGUAGUGGUGGUGGUGAUGGUGGUGGUGGAAGGGAAAGUGGAGUCAUUAAAGAGAUUUCUGUGCCCAUGGGAAAAGAGCCUGCGCAAGGUUGCUAGAAGCUUGCCAUGUAUUGGGGCUUCAUUCUGUGACAAGGGAAGGCGGAGUUAGAAACACUAUGAAACAGUGGAAGUUGACGUGGGAGUCGACAGAGGGUCAACGCUUCUUCCCAGUGGGACAAGAUGGAAGAAACCUACAACCACAAGGGUCUGUGAUCUGGCUGCCAAACAGACUGGGUGUGUGUCUCUGAAGGAUUCCUUUGUCCUGAACUGCUGUUUUUUUGUCGAAUUAGGAAAUGAUUGGAAUGGAAAUGGAGCUCCACCAAAAAGUAUGUGAAGAGUAGAAAAGGAGUAAAUCUCCCCCCCACCCACCAAAAGAAAAUCCAGCAAAUUAAGAAUUAGAACACACAGGAACAGAAUAACCUAUAGAAAAAAAUGAUCAAAAGGUGACACGAGAGAAGGAAUUGGAAAAACACAUGGGGGGGGAGGGUCGUACAAGCAAAGAAAGUAAUAAUAAUCCUU